UCCAGGGUAGCCGAGUGGACAAGGCACAAGGUGUGGGUUCGAUUCCCGCCCCUGGAC
rnacentral:tRNA from 1 species